rnacentral:tRNA from 1 species
GAUUAAAUGGCUGAAGAUUAGGCGAUAAACUGUAAAUUUAUUUAUAAGAGAAUACUCUUUUUAAUCA